GGGUUGUGAGGUUAAGCGACUAAGCGUACACGGUGGAUGCCCUGGCAGUCAGAGGCGAUGAAGGACGUGCUAAUCUGCGAAAAGCGCCGGCGAGGUGAUAUGAACCUUUGACCCGGCGAUGUCCGAAUGGGGAAACCCAGUGUGAUUCGUCACACUAUCGUUAACUGAAUACAUAGGUUAACGAGGCGAACCGGGGGAACUGAAACAUCUAAGUACCCCGAGGAAAAGAAAUCAACCGAGAUUCCCCCAGUAGCGGCGAGCGAACGGGGAGCAGCCCAGAGUCUGAAUCAGCUUGUGUGUUAGUGGAAGCGUCUGGAAAGUCGCACGGUACAGGGUGACAGUCCCGUACACGAAAAUGCACAGGUUGUGAACUCGAAGAGUAGGGCGGGACACGUGGUAUCCUGUCUGAAUAUGGGGGGACCAUCCUCCAAGGCUAAAUACUCCUGACUGACCGAUAGUGAACCAGUACCGUGAGGGAAAGGCGAAAAGAACCCCGGCGAGGGGAGUGAAAAAGAACCUGAAACCGUGUACGUACAAGCAGUGGGAGCACCUUCGUGGUGUGACUGCGUACCUUUUGUAUAAUGGGUCAGCGACUUAUAUUCUGUAGCAAGGUUAACCGUAUAGGGGAGCCGAAGGGAAACCGAGUCUUAACUGGGCGUUAAGUUGCAGGGUAUAGACCCGAAACCCGGUGAUCUAGCCAUGGGCAGGUUGAAGGUUGGGUAACACUAACUGGAGGACCGAACCGACUAAUGUUGAAAAAUUAGCGGAUGACUUGUGGCUGGGGGUGAAAGGCCAAUCAAACCGGGAGAUAGCUGGUUCUCCCCGAAAGCUAUUUAGGUAGCGCCUCGUGAACUCAUCUUCGGGGGUAGAGCACUGUUUCGGCUAGGGGGCCAUCCCGGCUUACCAACCCGAUGCAAACUACGAAUACCGAAGAAUGUUAUCACGGGAGACACACGGCGGGUGCUAACGUCCGUCGUGAAGAGGGAAACAACCCAGACCGCCAGCUAAGGUCCCAAAGUCAUGGUUAAGUGGGAAACGAUGUGGGAAGGCACAGACAGCCAGGAUGUUGGCUUAGAAGCAGCCAUCAUUUAAAGAAAGCGUAAUAGCUCACUGGUCGAGUCGGCCUGCGCGGAAGAUGUAACGGGGCUAAACCAUGCACCGAAGCUGCGGCAGCGACGCUUAUGCGUUGUUGGGUAGGGGAGCGUUCUGUAAGCCGUUGAAGGUGUGCUGUGAGGCAUGCUGGAGGUAUCAGAAGUGCGAAUGCUGACAUAAGUAACGAUAAAGCGGGUGAAAAGCCCGCUCGCCGGAAGACCAAGGGUUCCUGUCCAACGUUAAUCGGGGCAGGGUGAGUCGACCCCUAAGGCGAGGCCGAAAGGCGUAGUCGAUGGGAAACAGGUUAAUAUUCCUGUACUUGGUGUUACUGCGAAGGGGGGACGGAGAAGGCUAUGUUAGCCGGGCGACGGUUGUCCCGGUUUAAGCAUGUAGGCGGAACGAUUAGGUAAAUCCGGUCGUUUAUUAACGCUGAGGUGUGAUGACGAGGCACUACGGUGCUGAAGUAACAAAUGCCCUGCUUCCAGGAAAAGCCUCUAAGCAUCAGGUAACAUCAAAUCGUACCCCAAACCGACACAGGUGGUCAGGUAGAGAAUACCAAGGCGCUUGAGAGAACUCGGGUGAAGGAACUAGGCAAAAUGGUGCCGUAACUUCGGGAGAAGGCACGCUGAUAUGUAGGUGAAGCCCCUGCGGGUGGAGCUGAAAUCAGUCGAAGAUACCAGCUGGCUGCAACUGUUUAUUAAAAACACAGCACUGUGCAAACACGAAAGUGGACGUAUACGGUGUGACGCCUGCCCGGUGCCGGAAGGUUAAUUGAUGGGGUUAGCGGCAACGCGAAGCUCUUGAUCGAAGCCCCGGUAAACGGCGGCCGUAACUAUAACGGUCCUAAGGUAGCGAAAUUCCUUGUCGGGUAAGUUCCGACCUGCACGAAUGGCGUAAUGAUGGCCAGGCUGUCUCCACCCGAGACUCAGUGAAAUUGAACUCGCUGUGAAGAUGCAGUGUACCCGCGGCAAGACGGAAAGACCCCGUGAACCUUUACUAUAGCUUGACACUGAACACUGGUCCUUGAUGUGUAGGAUAGGUGGGAGGCUUUGAAGUGUGGACGCCAGUCUGCAUGGAGCCGUCCUUGAAAUACCACCCUUUAAUGGCUGGUGUUCUAACGUAGACCCGUAAUCCGGGUUGCGGACAGUGUCUGGUGGGUAGUUUGACUGGGGCGGUCUCCUCCCAAAGAGUAACGGAGGAGCACGAAGGUUAGCUAAUCCUGGUCGGACAUCAGGAGGUUAGUGCAAUGGCAUAAGCUAGCUUGACUGCGAGAGUGACGGCUCGAGCAGGUGCGAAAGCAGGUCAUAGUGAUCCGGUGGUUCUGAAUGGAAGGGCCAUCGCUCAACGGAUAAAAGGUACUCCGGGGAUAACAGGCUGAUACCGCCCAAGAGUUCAUAUCGACGGCGGUGUUUGGCACCUCGAUGUCGGCUCAUCACAUCCUGGGGCUGAAGUAGGUCCCAAGGGUAUGGCUGUUCGCCAUUUAAAGUGGUACGCGAGCUGGGUUUAGAACGUCGUGAGACAGUUCGGUCCCUAUCUGCCGUGGGCGCUGGAGAAUUGAGGGGGGCUGCUCCUAGUACGAGAGGACCGGAGUGGACGCAUCACUGGUGUUCGGGUUGUCAUGCCAAUGGCACUGCCCGGUAGCUAAAUGCGGAAAAGAUAAGUGCUGAAAGCAUCUAAGCACGAAACUUGCCCCGAGAUGAGUUCUCCCUGACUCCUUGAGAGUCCUGAAGGAACGUUGAAGACGACGACGUUGAUAGGUCGGGUGUGUAAGCGCAGCGAUGCGUUGAGCUAACCGAUACUAAUGAACCGUGAGGCUUAACCUUACAACGCCGAAGCUGUU
rnacentral:rRNA from 1 species